GACGAACGCUGGCGGCGUGCUUAACACAUGCAAGUCGAACGGAAAGGCCCCUUUGGGGGUCCUCGAGUGGCGAACGGGUGAGUAACACGUGAGUAACCUGCCCUUGACUUCGGGAUAACUUCAGGAAACUGGGGCUAAUACCGGAUAGGAAUCCUUGCUGCAUGGUGGGGGAUGGAAAGCUUCGGCGGUUUUGGAUGGACUCGCGGCUUAUCAGCUUGUUGGUGGGGUAGUGGCUUACCAAGGCUUUGACGGGUAGCCGGCCUGAGAGGGCGACCGGCCACAUUGGGACUGAGAUACGGCCCAGACUCCUACGGGAGGCAGCAGUGGGGAAUAUUGCACAAUGGGCGGAAGCCUGAUGCAGCAACGCCGCGUGCGGGAUGACGGCCUUCGGGUUGUAAACCGCUUUCAGCAGGGGCGAAGCUUGUGGUGACGGUACCUGCAGAAGAAGCACCGGCUAACUACGUG
rnacentral:rRNA from 1 species